UACGUAGGGUGCGAGCGUUGUCCGGAAUUAUUGGGCGUAAAGAGCUCGUAGGCGGUGUGGCACGUCGGCCGUGAAAACCUGCAGCUUAACUGUGGGCGUGCGGUCGAUACGGGCAUCACUGGAGUUCGGCAGGGGAGACUGGAAUCCCUGGUGUAGCGGUGAAAUGCGCAGAUAUCAGGAGGAACACCGGUGGCGAAGGCGGGUCUCUGGGCCGAUACUGACGCUGAGGAGCGAAAGCGUGGGGAGCAAACAGG
rnacentral:rRNA from 1 species